AAGCGAUUUAGCAGCAGCAGCGGCAGUGGGUGCUUCUCUGUUUACUGAUCACCAUCAGUUAUAAUAAAAAUCCCUUAUAUUGCUUUGAGUUCUUCAGAGUUUAUUCACUUUUAUCAUUUCAUUUAAGUCUUUUUGCAGAUAAGUAAUAGGGUUUAAGUACAAUGGAAAAGCAUUUAACAAAAAUAGUUAAUAUUUGAGACUCUGAUGUUACUUAAUAAUUGUUCCAGGCCUACCAAGAGUACUUUUAAAUGUUCACCAUUUACAACAUAAAGAGGAGUUGGAGGAGAGAGAAGCACUGGGCUUUGUCUACUAGUGUGAUGAAUUUCAGCCAUAAUCAGAAUCAUAGGACUGCAGGUUCUUGGUGCUGGAAUAGACUUUAAAACUAUGGGAUCCUUAGUUUGGGGACCCACCACAGGAUCCUUAGAUUGCUCUGGCUGGCAUAUAAUUAUCUGUUCAGUAGCCCAGCUUGCCCAACAAAAUAGAGCUUCUCAAGCCCAUGAGAUCAAUUAUUGGAUGACUUUGAGUACAUGAAAAUUACUUCACAUAUGGAGCAUAGCAUUCCCCUGUAACUUUCACCUUUGGCAACAUGUAGGGCAACAUGUAGGGCCAUCCUCUAUUGGCAUUUCUUCAGAUAUUUAAAUGUAGCUACCUUAAACUUCCACAUUUAUAGGUCCACAUACGUCCUGUUCCAUCAGCUAGUUUGUAUUUAAUUUGCAUUCCGGACCUGUGGCUAUCCUGGUCACUCUUUGCUAGAUAUGCUUUAGAUUAUCCAUAUUGCCCACACCAAGCCUACACAUCAGACGUGGCCUGUCUGGUAGAGUUUACUGAACCUAUCANNNNNNNNNNNNNNNNNNNNNNNUGCCGUGUGGGGAUAGCUGUUUGGCAGCUACAUUGCUCCGUUGGCACAUGUUAAACUUGUGGUCAACCAAAACUCCCAACUUUUUUUCCUCCUGUGGAUUUUCAACAAGCCAGUUUUCCAUUAGUCUGUUUUUAUAUAAUUACUGUUUUAAACAUAAAUUCAGAACUUUACAGUUAAUGUUGUUAUUUAAUAUUAAUGUUAACACUAAUAGCUGGCAUCUGUUGGAAAUUUACCAUGUUGAUCUUGUUGGGUUUUCCCCAGUAUUCACCCUUUGGGACUGCUGUGAAUCUUGUUUCUUCCCUUUCUUGUUUUUUUUUCCCCAAGAAACUUCUGUCUGUCUGUCUGUUGAGAGAGAUGUUUGCAUAUCUAGUACCUGUCCAUCUGGAUGUCCUCUCUACCCAGCUAUGUUUUGGUUUUGGCAGGUUCAUAGUGAUAAUAGCUGUGUAGGAAGCAGAUCCAGGGGUAGGGAUUUGAGCCACCUAGACUUGUGCACAAGUGUUUAUGUACUCCUCCAUGGACCUUCUGGUCUUGGGUAA
rnacentral:lncRNA from 1 species